GUGGGGAAUUUUGGACAAUGGGCGCAAGCCUGAUCCAGCAAUGCCGCGUGCAGGAAGAAGGCCUUCGGGUUGUAAACUGCUUUUGUACGGAACGAAACGGUCCUGGUUAAUACCUGGGGCUAAUGACGGUACCGUAAGAAUAAGCACCGGCUAACUACGUGCCAGCAGCCGCGGUAAUACGUAGGGUGCGAGCGUUAAUCGGAAUUACUGGGCGUAAAGCGUGCGCAGGCGGUGCUGUAAGACAGGCGUGAAAUCCCCGGGCUCAACCUGGGAAUUGCGCUUGUGACUGCAGGGCUGGAGUACGGCAGAGGGGGAUGGAAUUCCGCGUGUAGCAGUGAAAUGCGUAGAUAUGCGGAGGAACACCGAUGGCGAAGGCAGUCCCCUGGGCCUGUACUGACGCUCAUGCACGAAAGCGUGGGGAGCAAACAGGAUUAGAUACCCGAGUAGUCC
rnacentral:rRNA from 1 species